GAAAAGCAUGUGUAGUUAGGAAUAUCAGGCCUCGAGAGCUGGAACUGUGUGUGGCUGAAUGCAGAGCUCGGUGCAGAGGAGUUGCCCAGCAGUUUGUGAGUACUGAGAUGUUGAGACGCUCUACAGACGGGCAACCAGAACAGCACCGUCAGAUUUCACGUUUCAGAGAAAAGCAUGCUAACAGGAGCUGCCGAGCGCAGGGAGGCGAGAAAGAAGGCACAGACAGAACCCCAAACCCACUUGCCAGUUUGGCCCGGAGCAGCUCUAACAGGAACUGCUAAGCGUGUGCCAACUGUCCCCAUGUUCCUCUUUACAGUAAACGUCACAGCCAAAGAGUUCCAGGCGAAGUGCAAUACUUUGGUUCCAAGAUUUAGGAAUGAUGCGGAUAAAUCUG